GGCUCAAUGGUCUAGGGGUAUGAUUCUUGCUUUGGGCGCUUCAAAAGAGCACAAUUGCAAGAGGUCCCGCGUUCAAAUCGCGGUUGAGCCC